rnacentral:rRNA from 1 species
GCCAGUAGUCAUAUGCUUGUCUCAAAGAUUAAGCCAUGCAUGUCUAAGUAUAAGCAAUUUAUACAGUGAAACUGCGAAUGGCUCAUUAAAUCAGUUAUCGUUUAUUUGAUAGUACCUUUACUACUUGGAUAACCGUGGUAAUUCUAGAGCUAAUACAUGCUUAAAACCCCGACUGUUUGGGAGGGGUGUAUUUAUUAGAUAAAAAAUCAAUGCUCCUCGGAGCUCUUUGAUGAUUCAUAAUAACUUUUCGAAUCGCAUGGCCUUGCGCUGGCGAUGGUUCAUUCAAAUUUCUGCCCUAUCAACUUUCGAUGGUAGGAUAGUGGCCUACCAUGGUUUCAACGGGUAACGGGGAAUAAGGGUUCGAUUCCGGAGAGGGAGCCUGAGAAACGGCUACCACAUCCAAGGAAGGCAGCAGGCGCGCAAAUUACCCAAUCCCAAUACGGGGAGGUAGUGACAAUAAAUAACGAUACAGGGCCCUUUCGGGUCUUGUAAUUGGAAUGAGUACAAUGUAAAUACCUUAACGAGGAACAAUUGGAGGGCAAGUCCUGGUGCCAA